GAUGAAGAACGCAGCGAAAUGCGAUAAGUAGUGUGAAUUGCAGAAUUCAGUGAAUCAUCGAAUCUUUGAACGCACAUUGCGGCCAUAGGUAUUCCUUUGGCCAUGCCUGUUCGAGCGUCAUUUACACCCUCAAGCCUAGCUUGGUGUUGGGCGCCUGUCCCGCCGUUUUCGCGCGCGGACUCGCCUCAAAGUCAUUGGCGGCGGUCGUGCCGGCCCCCUCGCGCAGCACAUUUGCGCUUCUCGGAGGCCCGGCGGAUCCGCGCUCCAGCAAGACCUUUCACGACUUGACCUCGGAUCAGGUAGGGAUACCCGCUGAACUUAAGCAUAUCAAUAAGCGGAGA
rnacentral:misc_RNA from 1 species